UGGAAUAUCUUUUUCCAUCCCCUCACUUUCAGUCUGUAUGUGUCCCUAGGUCUGAAGUGGGUCUCUUGUAGACAGCAUAUAAAUGGGUCUUGUUUUUGUAUCCAUUCAGCAAGCCUGUGUCUUUUGGUUGGAGCAUUUAAUCCAUUCACAUUUAAUGUAAUUAUUGAUAUAUAUGUUUCUAUUACCAUUUUCUUAAUUGUUUUGGGUUUGUUUUAGUAGGUCCUUUUCUUCUCUUGUGUUUCCCACUUAGAGAAGUUCCUUUAGCAUCUGUUGUAUAGCUGGUUUGGUGGUGCUGAAUUCUUUUAGCUUUUGCUUGUCUGUAAAGCUUUUGAUUUCUCCAGAGAAAUGUGAAUGAGAUCCUUGAUGGGUAGAGUAAUCUUGGUUGUAGUUUCUUCCCUUUCAUCACUUUAAAUAUAUUGUGCCAUUCCCUUCUGGCUUGUAGAGUUUCUGCUGAGAAAUCAGCUGUUAACCUUAUGGGAGUUCUCUUGUAUGUUAUUUGUCGUAUUUCCUUUGUUGCUUUUAAUAAUUUUUCUUUGUCUUUAAUUUUUGUCAAUUUGAUUACUAUAUGUCUUGGCGUGUUUCUCCUUGGGUUUAUCCUGCCUGGGACUCUCUGAGCUUCCAGACUUGGGUGGCUCUUUCCUUUUCCAUGUUAGGGAAGUUUUUGACUAUAAUCUCUUCAAAUAUUUUCUCGGGCCCUUUCUCUCUCUCUUCUCCUUCUGGGACCCCUAUAAUGCAAAUGUUGGUGCAUUUAAUGUUGUCCCAGUGGUCUCUUAGGCUCUCUUCAUUUCUUUUCCCUCUUUUUUCUUUAU